AUUGCACGCUGGCGGCAGGCUUAACACAUGCAAGUCGAACGAGUGGCGGACGGGUGAGUAAUGUCUGGGAAACUGCCUGCUGGAGGGGGAUAACUACUGGAAACGGUAGCUAAUACCGCAUACCAUCGGAUGUGCCCAGAGGGGAUUAGCUAGUAGGUGGGGUAAUGGCUCAACUAGGCGACGAUCCCUAGCUGGUCUGAGAGGAGGACCAGCCACACGGGAACUGAGACCCGGUCCAGAGUCCUACGGGAGGCAGCAGUGGGGAAUAUUGCACAAUGGGCGCAAGCCUGAUGCAGCCAUGCCGCGGGUAUGAAGAAGGCCUUCGGGUUGUAAAGUACUUUCAGCGGGGAGGCGUUACUCGCAGAAGAAGCACCGGCUAACUCCGUGCCAGCAGCCGCGGGAAUUC
rnacentral:rRNA from 1 species